rnacentral:lncRNA from 1 species
AUACAUGGGAGCAUGGAUGGGCAUGCUUAAUCUACUUUCACUUUGUGAUGCAGUCAGCUUGGGCUAUUAUGUUCUCAAUCAGCACCUCAAUUUUCCGCGUUUUCUUCUUUUCUUUCCGUUAUCCUUGAAAGAGUUGGCAGAGGGGUAAUAGUGUAGGUCAUGGCCUAGGGUGAUGACUUGCUUUGUGGCUCACUCUGUUUUACUGGUUCAAACCAUUUUUCUACAUGGACAAAGCUAUAGCAGAGGUUGAAGAUGUGCGUGGAAUUUCGCCCCUGUUUCUAGUUCUAAUGAAUCAUAACUAGGUUAUCUAACUGAAAAAAGAGCAUACUUAGUCAAAUCAGUAAUCGGGCGAGGAGAUCCCUAAUUCCUUUUCCUAUAUUUCCUGUUCUCCCCCUAUCAAGACCAUUCCAAAUAUCUUAAGAGAAAACAUAAAGAAAUACUUACAGAUAGUACCUUGUAAACAGGACCAAAUCCACCCUCUCCAAGUUUAUUUUCAAAGGAAAAGUUAUUUGUAGCCUCUUUGAUCUCAGCAAAACUGAAUACUCGCAGAUUAGGAGCAUUACUGUUACAAUUUUCAACAUCUGAUGAUUUGCUUCCUACUUCAUGUAGUGAUAUUUUACCUAAAUUCUUGGUCCCUGUAACCAGAAUGGGAAAAUUUUGAUAAAACAUUAGUCUCUGCACAUCAUAUAAAAUGGGAAAAAUGUUCUCAUAGUUACGGUUAACUAAAGUUACCUAUCGCUUUGAGUACUCUGCUUCGUGAGUAACAACACAUUAUGGAGCCUGCUACAAGAAUAAGUACAGCAAUUGGAACCAGAAUUUUUACCAAUAAUUCCUGCUUCUUGUGAUGAUCUUUGUCAUCAUCUUGAGCUGUAACAGAAUUGAUCACAUUAAUGGGAAUGAACCAUGAAGAGAUCUUUACCAUCUGCUCUUAUAGUUUCCAAGAUGAUUGUAAUGGGAAAAAUACAAGGAUGUCUUAUUGUUGUUCUCUUUACUCAAAAGGUUACUGCAUUAAGAGAAGCAUCUUAUGAGCAAACCAUGAAGAUCAAUUUUGCCACCCACCAAACCAACACAGACUCUGGUUCAAGUUUCAGGUUGGUCCCUUAAUACCUACUUGACCCAUUAAUAGAAAGAGAUGAAAAUGACGAAUAAAUCAGAAACCAUUACUAACCUGCCUGAGAAAGCGCCCAAUUGUCGUCGUUGCUAACCUGGAACACAUUGUAACCAAGUAGCUUCUUCUCCUUGGCAUAAGAAAUUUUAGCUUCUUCUCCUAACAAAACCCAACAUUACAAUUUUGUGGAAUUUUCGAUUUUGACUUCCCCAUCGGGCUAAGACAAGCAUUGACUUUGUGCUUUAGGCAUUGACCAUGAGAUUAAAUAUGCCACUCCUUUUCAAAUGGGAUUAGCGAGUAAAAGGCCUAGAGCCGAAUGUGAUCUUAAAAACCAUUGCAUUCCUGAAAAACAUCUCAAUAUCAUAUUUGUCUAGGAGAAAAACAAAAAUUGUAUUUUCAUUAUGGUCUUAUAAAACACUGAUUACUUAACUAUGUUCAUAUCACGGGAAAAGCAAAAGGGGCGAUAGGUCGGGUUUUACUCCAAUGACUUGAAAUGCGUUUGUGGACGAUGCUCUCUUCAUUCAUUUGUGAGUUUUCCCAUGUGUUAAAAUUUAGUGUUCAUAAUUGUUGUAAUAUGUACAUGAUUAACAUAAAUGCCUCUAUUGGGGUUCACUGAGCCACUCAAACUCAGAACCUUUCUGCCUCAGUACUGAAGUUCUCAGCGAGGCAAGACUUGGGAGAUUGUUGUAACAUUGACUGAACCAAUUUCAUGGCCUGAUGCAGAUUUACCGUCUGCCUCAACUUCAUCUCUUUUGGCUGCAAAGGCAGGCCUUCUAGGAGUAGCAAUGGCUGCAGUUUCGUUUUUGAUCAUCGAAUCGACUUCUAACACGGACGGUCUAUCGGCUGGAUUUUCCUGGACGCAUAGCAGUGCUACUUGCAUGCAUCGUGUCAGUUUACACGAAGAACAUGCAUCAUCCAGUGAUGGAUCCAUGAACUCCAUGCUCUUACCAUCUUUCCAUAGCUCAUAUGCCUGAAAUAAUUUAAUGUUAAUUAGCAAGCCAUGUUGUAGAGCAUAUACAGAAUUUGAAAUCAAAAUGAAGUGAGGGAAGUCUCAAAGUAACUUACAUAUUCAAGAAGGUGUAAAUUUUGAUCCAAACCAUAGAAACAUGUGUUCUUCUUGCCACUGAUAAUUUGUAAUAAGAGAACUCCAAAGCUAUAAACAUCAGACUUCACAGAAUAGGUACCCUUUUGCACGUAUUCGGGGGAGACAUAGCCACUGCAUUGAAUGAACAAAUGGGAUUGUCUGAAUUUUUCCCAGAAUUUGAGGGGAAAAAUCGAUUUUGAAAGGAAGUUUUACUUACUAUGUCCCAACAAUUCGGCCGGUGUUAGCUUCAUUCUCAUCUUUUUGGAAAAUUCUAGCUAUCCCAAAAUCUGCAAUCUUUGGCUUCAUUUCACCGUCUAGUAAAAUGUUGCUAGCCUUUAAAUCUCUGUGAAUUAUCCUUAGUCUUGAGUACUCCUGUAGAUAUAGAAGCCCCUGAGUGAUCCCUUCAAUGAUGUGUAUGCGUUUUCCCCAAUCUAAGAGUACCUGUCCCUCUGGGUCUACAUCAGAUGGAUUUAUGAGCAAAUAGUUAUAUUUCUUAUCUAAACAAUAAAAUGAAUCAACAUUGGCUUCUUUCAGGCUUAAGGGUAGUUUAGCCCCUCAUAUCAGAACUUGUCUUUAUAGGCUGAGAACUUCCAUCCAAUUUCUAAAAUGAGAAACAGAUGGGUGUUCCUGAAUUGACCUUAUUCCUUGGAUCCUUUGGUUUGCCAAUGAGAUGAAUUGUGCAUGGAGCAGAGAGUGAUCAUCAAAAUGGUAGGAAAGUCUCAUGCUGUUUGGGGGAAGGCAACCCCUGCAGUAAGCAAAGCUGCCAGGAUGCAUAAGAUGAGUAGGUCUUUUGGGGAAUGUUUUCAAAAGCAGACUCAAAAGUGAUUUUUGGGAGUAAUUGUUAAAAACACCUGUUAAUUAAUUUGAGGAAUAAAAUUUUGUUUAAAAACCCAAAUAUAAAAGCAGUUAACUUCUGGACUUUUUCUCCGUACACCCAUUUAUAAUACAAAUUUUUUUGAAGGAUUAAAUUUCAUAUUUUUAAUAAUUAAGUUUCUCAAACUUGUUUUAUGAAUCAAAAAAUUAAGUCAUGUUUGGUAAUUAUUUUUUAAAAUAGCAUUUUUCUAUUUGCGUUUUCAUUUAUUUUUUGAAAAUUGUUUUAAAAAAUAAUUAUAAUAACAUAAAAAAUAAAUAAAAAUAAAACAUUACAUCUAAAAAUUAUUUUUAAAAUAUAUUUAAAAGUCUAAAAAAUAAAUUUAAAAUAUUUUAAGUACCCAAACAAAAAUUUAUUCUAUAAAAAUAUCAAACAACAGUUUUCCAAUUUAUUAUAAAAACUGUUUUUCAUUUUGGUUUUCAAAUUUAGACACCAGACAAACAGGGUAUUACUUCCUACUCUAAAAAAAAAAAAAAAAAAUUUGUUUUAAGACAGUUCCCAAACAUAUUACUGGACUUCUAGCAUUCCAAAUGAAAAAGCCCACAAAGAGGACUUUGGUUUCUACUGCUGAGGAUUAUCAAAGGGAAAUUGAUUUGCCAUUCUUUUUCAGGUCCCUGAUUCUAAGGGCAUGGUGACCACUACUAGUAGGAAGUUCCUUCUUAUGCCAUCGCCCUUUAAGAUACCGAGAAACUACAAAACUUCAGGCCCCUCAACAUGUUCUCACUAACUACAACUGGAAGGUUAAAAGAAUACACGUACCAAAGAGGUAGAAAUCCAAGCUUUUGUUUGGCAUGCAUUCGUAGAUGAGCAUCUUCUCUUCCCUCUGGGUGCAAAAACCCAAAAGUUUAACAAGAUUCACAUGCUGUAGUGUUGCAGUGAGUGUAACCUCAUUCUUGAACUCCUCAAGCCCUUGAUGAGAAGUUUUUGAAAGUCUCUUCACUGCUAUUUCCUGCCCUUUCGGUAAUUUACCCUACAAAACCACAUCCAUGGUCACCAUUUUCUGCUAAAAAUUAAGCUACAAUUCAGCCCAUUUUAGGUUCAAUUCCUAUGCAAGUAACAAAUGUGUUAUUACUCAACAGAACUCGGCCAUGAUUAGAUCUCAACAGGCUCUGAAUUUGGUUCUGGACAUCAGGUAAACCAGCUGCUACUAACCUUCAAAAAUGUCUUAGUAAAGGAGCUACUACAAAAAGGUUAGACAAAUAAAAUUAGAUUAUUCAUAAUUUUCUGGAAAGCUAAAAAAUGUCUAUAUAGUAAAAGAACCCAAAGAAUUUUUAAUGAGGUUGAUUAUACAUGGGCAGGGUGAAUAUGUAGGCAACUAAAGAUUUUAGACCUUCCAUGUCCCCUGCUAUCCUAUUGUUCCAUGAUUUCAUAUAUAUAAGUUUCUCUUAACCAACUAAACACGUUUUAAAACCGUGAGGACCCUUUCGACCAAAAGCUGAGAGAGGGUUGUUACAAUUGAAAAAAAAAAUUGACAAAAACAAAUAGGGUAUAUUACCAGACAUUACCUUGUAAACAGGUCCAAAUCCACCCUCCCCAAGCCUAUUUUCACUUGAAAAGUUAUUCGUAGCCACUUUAAUGGUACUGAAGCUGAACACUUGCAGAUUAGGAUCAUCACUGUUGGCAGAUGAUAUAUUGCUUCCCAGUUUAAUAGGCAGUGACUUUGGUCUGGUCUGCAUCAUGACUAAGCAAAAAGAGCAAAAGAAAAUAGGAAAAAUGAUACUCAUAAAAAGAUUUGUUAAUCUUGGCAAGAAAUAGUUGGAAAACUUACCUUUUAUAUUGAAUAUUAGUCUCCCUUUCCAUCGAUGACACAUUAUGGAACUUACUAGGAGAACAACUAUAGCAAUUGGAAGCAAAAUAAUUACCAACAAUCGCUGCUUGUUUCCUUCAUCUUGAUCUUCACCUUGAGCUGCAAAAGUAGGAGGCUACAUGAAAACUUUUUUUGCUUUCAGUUUGUUGAACCUCUCAACACUUCAUUAGAUGUCCUUAAUUAUAAUUCUCUGUUGUAGAAAUGCUAAUUAAUAUGCUAUACACUUGAGCAACCAAAGGGUCUUCAGGGAUUGAAUAGAACAAUAUGUGAUAACCUUCAACCAUGUGGAGUCAUUAGAAAUGUCUUCGGAAAAAGAGUGACAGGGUUGAUACAGUAAGCACUAAAAAAUAGUAAUUGGAAGGUAGCUUUCCUUCAAUUUUCUCAAUGAAAGAUGGAUGAAAGAGAGUGAUGUUGUGUGUCAACCAGUUAGGUUCACCAAUCUUCAGUCUGUAAUUCAAAUUAAUGCAGCAGCCUGCAGUCUCAAUCUCUUCUUAAUUUCUUGAUGGCCAAUGAAAGGAAAUUGCUGAAAAAUCAGCAAACCCAAAUUCCAUGAAAAUUCAUUUCUCGGAGAACAGUUUUGAGCAAAUGAAGACUGCACGGAGUUAACCUGGUGUGGACCCGCAUUUUAUCCUAACUCUCUAUUUUUCUAAAGGUCGACCCUGAAGAACCGACAGGGGAGGCUAGUGAAUGCCUAAAUGUUGCCACUAAACUCUCAUCAUGGAGUAUAGGAAAACACUAAGCUAUUCUUUGCACAUGGGCGGCUAGAAAUAUAUGGUGAAAUAUAGAUAGUUGAAUAAAGGUAGAAUUAUAUGAUACCAAGCUAUAAAGGAAUAAAAUUGAAGUACAAUGAGAUAAGAUCAAGAUAAAAAGUAAUGGACCUCGGUAUAGAUGAAUAAGACCAGAGCAUAAAUCAAUAGGACCUGGGUUAGACAGGUAGCAUGAUGGCACAGAGCUGGGUUCAAGUCUUUGAGACCUUCUCCACCUACUUCUAGCACAAAGAAGACAAAGGGAUGACUAUAUGGAAUACAAAUGGCAAACUAUUACCCACCUGCCAGAGACAGCACCCAAUUCUCAUCAUGAGAGACUUCCCACACAUUGUAACCAAGCAGCCCCUUCUCCUUUGCAUAAGAAACCUUAGUUCUUAUAGCCUCAACAUCAUCAUAACCAAUCCAUGUUGCUCCAAAGCUGCAGUAAUUCACUACAUAUGUAGCAUUAUACACAGAAGCACAUUCAUAACUUCGAAUGAACCAUUUGAUGUAUUUAUAGCUCACAGAUCCGUCUGGUGUCAUGGCCAAACCUGAUGCAGGUGCUCCAAUACCAUUUUCCUUGGGGUUCAAGAGUGUCCAUGCAUACCCAUGGUACGCCAAACCCAAAACCAGCUUCCCAGCCGGUAACCCUCUGCCGAUCCAUUCCCCUAUACCAAAAUCAGUAUUAACCCGACUCACUGGGUCGUAUAGAGCAGCAUGGGCAUGUGUGAAGUUCACACUUGAAGGCAGAUAAUAGUCAUAAGCCGCAACAUGAACCCAAUCCAUGUUCCUUCGUAUCGAAUCAACCUCAUAACUCACUGACCCAAGAGUUGGCAAGUAAUGAACUUCCAGUGUCAGAAUCAGUGGUGACUGACUAGGGUCUCUUGACUCAGAAUUUACUGCUGCUCGCCAUUCAUCAAAGAGGAUUCCCAUGUUGAUCGUGUUGGAUACUGUUCUUGGCCAAUAACCACUAAGGUCUAGACCCUGGAACCCAUAGAGCCUAGCUGUUUUUAUUGAAGAUUCAAUGAAGGACUUCCUGUAUGAAGGCUGGCUGAUCAUUGAAGAAAACUUUGUGGAGUCAUUUUUUCCUGCCCAGAUGGAUAGAAGUGUUAUGAUCGAUGGAUUCCUCUUUUUGACUAUGUUGGUGAAGGUCGCGAAGUAUUGUUCAUCAGAGGGGGAGAUAUAGAUCUGGUAGGCAGAAGGGUCGAGCCAAGCAAAAGCACAGAGAAGGUGAGUAAACAAAGCAGAGUUUAUAUCAGGAACUGGGGAUUCAUUACCGGAGUACCAAUAACCUGCUUUGACCCAGGUCUGUGAGUUCGAAAGGCGGAAAUGGAAAGCAAUAAACAAGAGGAGGGCAAUAUUUUUGGAAGCCAUUGAAGAAAGCUAGCUACCCUCAUGCUUGUUAGCAGAUCUUUAAAUAACCUGGGCAAAAGUCCAAUUAACUACCCCACUUAAUGGGACGCAGGUUCCUUAAUUUAUUGGCUGAUGGUUUAGCAGGCUGGAAACUUCACCAACCAAACAGAAGACGAACAAUACAGAAGAGAUAUCUAAAGUCGUUCCUACCUAACCUCAUUUGGCUAAAUAUCUGAAGUCUAGGUUUGAAAUUUCAUAGCCUAACAUAAGACAAAGUCUUGCAUUCUGAUCCUUUCAGAUGCUUGCUCCCAUCUGCUUUUUCUUCCUUCCUCUCAUUUCCCGGAACCUACAAAAGAAUGAAUCUAAUCUUGACCUCUUCUCUUAUAUUUGAAAAGUAGUUAAUAACAUCUGUCGUUUUUAUUCAGUACAAACAAAAUCAAAACAACGUAGUCCGCUUUUCCCUUGAUUUAUGCUAUUUUUCCUUGUUAUUUCAUAAAUAUUAUAUGACAAAAUAUUUUUAUUUCAUUAACAUAUAAUAAUAUUCACAAAAUAAAUAGAUAUUUUAUUCAAUAUUAAUAUACAAAAUCUCUAGUUGUGUUCAGUUCUCCGGAAAUACUAAAAAAAGAAAAAAAAAUACAAAAGAAAAUGAUUUUUUUAUAUUUGAUUAUCCUAUAAAAAAUAUAAAAGAAAAUAAAAUAUAAUUAAAAUUUUAAGUAUAUUUAAAUUAUUUAAUCUUUAUAUCGAUAAGUUAAAAUAAAUAAAAUGAGUUUAAAGUAACAAAUAUAAAUAAUUUAUCGACUUUUAAUCUAUUUUUUAUUUUUCUUUCCUUUUACUUUUUCUUUACAUUUUCUUUCCCUUCCAUUUUCCCUCAGAUUUUUUAGAACCAAACAUAGCUUAUAUAUCACAUACCUUCUAAACCUAUAAAUAAUAAAACAUAAUUUCUUAAUCUAAACUAUAAAAUAUUUAUACUGGUUCAAACCAUUUUUCUACAUGGACAAAGCUAUAGCAGAAGUUGAAGAUGUGCGUGGAAUUUCGCUCCUGUUUCUAGUUCUAAUGAAUCAUAACUAGGUUAUCUAACUGAAAAAAGAGCAUACUUAGUCAAAUCAGUAAUCGAGCGAGGAGCUCCCUAAUUCCUUUUCCUACAUUUCCUGUUCGCCCCCUAUCAAG